AGAACGAACGCUGGCGGCAUGCCUAACACAUGCAAGUCGAACGAGACCUUCGGGUCUAGUGGCGCACGGGUGCGUAACGCGUGGGAAUCUGCCCUUGGGUCCGGAAUAACAGUUAGAAAUGACUGCUAAUACCGGAUGAUGACGUAAGUCCAAAGAUUUAUCGCCCAGGGAUGAGCCCGCGUAAGAUUAGGUAGUUGGUGGGGUAAAGGCCUACCAAGCCGACGAUCUUUAGCUGGUCUGAGAGGAUGAUCAGCCACACUGGGACUGAGACACGGCCCAGACUCCUACGGGAGGCAGCAGUGGGGAAUAUUGGACAAUGGGCGAAAGCCUGAUCCAGCAAUGCCGCGUGAGUGAUGAAGGCCCUAGGGUUGUAAAGCUCUUUUACCCGGGAUGAUAAUGACAGUACCGGGAGAAUAAGCCCGGCUAACUCCGCGCCAGCAGCCGC
rnacentral:rRNA from 1 species